GACCUUCUGGAGCUUACCACAGGCUGUGUUCUUACACUGUGUUGUAUACAAAGAGGAGGCAAAGUAAACCUACCCCUUUACAACUCAGGCCAGGCCCUAUGCCUGGUCUGUAUUGUGAAUGGGGGGGGGGCAGGA
rnacentral:snoRNA from 1 species